UGGUGCUCACAAGGUUUUUCACAGGUUGUAACAGGAUGAAAUUAAGGCAAAUCCUUUUUUGUAGUUGCAGUAGUAGUAGUAGCAGCAAUAAUAAUGGAUGCUCAAAAUAAAGUACGUUAAUACACAGAAUGGAGAUUAUAUGACAGCGCAUGGUCAAGAGAAAUACUCAAACCAUAUUUGCAGUGGGAUACAACAAAAAAGAGAAGAGUCAGGGUCUGUGUGCAAACACAGAUGCAUACACACCACCACAGACCAGAGAGCACACACCCAGGCACAGGUGAACCUUGCUUUAUGUGCUCCCCACCAGGCUUCUAUCCUACUAUAGUUCAAGCAUGUUCCAAGGGUCAGGCAUAGUGCCCAGCAUGUGCCUGCACUUGGUCAGAUCAGGUCCAAACACCCCAGAGAUGGGUUUGCAGACUUCCAUGCUUGGAGACGUUUGAUCUUGCUCUGAGAGAGGCUCCAUUACUGUGCCUUUAAUUAACUCCAGCAGCAGCCACUUCCUGGUUCGAGGACCUCACCACACUGCUUGCAGGCAGUAAUCUUUUGCAGGUGACUGUCAGCUGCACAUCAAACGUCAGGAUGGGCUAGCCUUAGUUCUCAGGUAUUUCAGUUAGUAAUAGAGAUGGCUGUCACUUCUGCAGGCUCUUUUCGGCUGUACAUGGCAGAUGCACUGAAGCUGAGCUAACACAGGCCAGUUGCAGUGUGGCUAGCAGACACUGCUGUGAUUCACAGCUCCAUCUCUAUGACCAGAGUGUUCCCAGCUUUCAACCAAGAGGGUGUCAAAUUAUGCAAAAGUAUGUCUCCCAUCUACUGUCAUAAGCUGAUGAUGUUGGCUCAUGUUUUCUAAUGCUUUUGCAAAAAAAAGAUCAACAACAGGUCUAAGUUUGGGCAGAGUAUAUAGAAAUACGUUGUUCAAAUAAGAAUAUUUUCCUUCAAUAUCAGCUGUAGCCAUUUUUACAGAUGCCAAAAAAUAUUGAUAUUAAUACAUUCACUUUCACCACCUUACUUUUGUCCCUGAUAAAUAAUUGACCACUUGAUAAAAGUUUGUCAUACAUAAGAAAAAAAAAGUGAGACUUUGUGAUCUGGUCAGGCAUACUAAUACAUUACACUCAUUAAAUAGGAGAAAGAUUCUUAUUACCAAGCAUGCACCAAUGCCCUUUAAGUUUGCCAGGGCUAGCAUAUACACAGUACUUUGAAAGCCCUGCCUGGCAUAUUAAGCACAUUUUAAUAAAAUUCUUUUGAGGUUCCUGGUAGGAUGCACAGUAAUUCCUUGCCUUUAAGUCCCCACACCUCAGAGUGAUCUCAUCAGAUAGCCAAUGCUGCAUUAGAUCAGGCCUGAACAUUGCAGACGCUGGCGGGAAGGGGAGGGGGAAUGCAAGGCAAAUUAAACCAGCAGUCUGCACUUCCCAGAGCAGGCCAUUCUCUUCUUAAAGACAUGAAACCGAGAGAUGUGGCUGGUUGGCAGUGCUUUGAUGUGGAAAAGAUGCCUAGUUUAAAGCUCAGAAAUAGAAGAUUUUACAAGAGAUUUAGUAGGAUUCCCUUCAGUGAUCAGCGGGUGAGGCAGCCUUUUCACAGGUCAAUCAUGCAUACCAAAAAGGUUCCAUUACACCACUUACACAUACUGCUGUGAAUAAGAUUUAACUACAUUAUCAACUCUUGAUAUUGUCCAUUAUAACUGUCUAACUUUAAUAAAGAUGAAUGAACAAUGUAAGUUGUAAAGGUGUAACUGAAAAGAGGCUUGUAUAAGUGACAAUUGAUAAACAAGAAGAAAUAAUAAAAAUUAUUGCUUUCCAUGGAAGAAACACAUUGAAAGUGUUAAAGAUCAUUGUCAGUUACCUAGUGUCUCA